CUACAUGUCACCCUAUGUGAUUCAGCUGUGCUUGAACCCAGUUUCUUUUCCUCACUAGCCCAGUCUGCAGAUAUAUCUUAUUUGUUCCUGACCUCUUCUGGAGCUCUCAGCACAUUUCAGAGUUUAAUAGAUUAGACACCACAGCUCCACUAUGAAACAGAACUUGCAUUCCUUGGCUGCCUCCGGAUGUGCAAAUGCUGGUGGAGGCUGGAACCCCCCUGUGCCUGACUAGCAGCCAGCGAAUACCUUCCUUGGUCAAGGACCUUGCUGCAUCUCUCUGCAUUUCUCACUUCCAUUCUGGAUCACUGCGCUCCUCACCAGAACAAAGGUAAUCCAAGCUAACAGAAAAGGAAGGUGUGCCUGUGCUCUGUAUACAUAGAGUGCAUUUAAUCUCUACUUACAUACAGAUUGUGCUAACUUUGUAAGAAAUACCUACUUUAGUUGUGCUGGAGUGACUGAACCUCGGGGUUCAUACAAUUAGCUUUGUUAUUAUCAGAAGUGCAAGCAGUUGUACUUUGCACUUGAGUGCAAACUGCAGAAUCCAUCUAAGAUGCUGAGUAUGGGAGCUAGACCACGGUGCUACAGCUGCACUCUAACCAAAACCAUAUUUUAUACCUCAUCUGAGUUUGUGUUUGUGAUUGUAAAUAGAUAUGCCCUUUGAGGAUUUUGUUCUUCUGGCUCUUACGUUGGUGAGAUCAGCUUAGUUCCUUACUUCAAACAUUAAGGUCUGGUGGAUGACAGUUUGCAAAGGGGAACUCUUGAGCUUAAGCCUUCCCCUUGUUCCAAAAAUCUGUAAGAUUUCCAGAGAUGGUUGAAAACAUCUGGUAUGCUCUAGAAAGAAGAUACCUUUUGUCGCUGUCAACUGGCAUGUAUUUGUAUACACAUUUGAUGUUAGCCAGGAAAAUCUAGCAUUUCUUUUACCUGAACAGAAACAUCUUCUUGAGAGACACCAAUUAUCCACUUCAAUUCAGCCCUUGGCAAAUAAACAGAAUGUACUCUCAUGACACUGGUGUCAGCCAAUAUCAAACCAUACAGGUUCUGUGGGGUUAAGGCUUCUGGUAAAGAGGUGGCCUGAGGCCUUCUCUGGAAGGAAGGAUCAAAUGGAAAGGCAGUUGCUUUUUCUCCUGUAGAAUUUCUUUCAGGGUCAUUUUUAACAUUGUUAGUUUAGUUCAUUUUUUGUGCAUUUUGUAUCCUGUUGCAUAUGUCUGGAAUGUCGUAACUGGCAAAGCACAGAAAUCAAGUAAUUAACAGCAGGACUGUAGAAGGGUGCCAGACUGUUCUAUAUAAAUCACUGCUUUUCUUUUUGCAGUCCUUACUAAAUUUUCAAGGAUUAUUUUUAAAUUGUUUUGAGCUCUCUCUGAAUAUUUACCAGUAUCCAUGAUGUUCAAGCCGAUUAACUGUCCUCAUUUUUACAAUGUGAAGAUUUAAAUCCAUAGUUUAUAAAUAACAGAAAUAAAUAUAUUUUUGAGAAAUGCCUGGAAAUGAUCUUGGACUGUCAAGUUUAGUUUUGCACUGCAAAUCUUCCUUGUUUCAUUGACUGUAUUUUAUUAAUCAUCUGGAAAGAAGUUCGAUCUACUGUGUCUGUGCACUUACCUACUUCAACUAAAAAGAGCAAACACACUUUCCUGCCAUUUAUCUCCUUGUUAAAAUAUGACUGAAGAAUUCAAAAAUAUAAAUGAGCUAGAACGCUGGCACUAGUGUGGUUCAGAUGAAGGUGAAGGCAAAUGUUUCUGAGAAUUCUGUGCAAACUUUUAUUAUCCUUAAGAACUGAUGGUUACUUAGAAAAGGAUCAUUCUCUUAGUUCUGAGUUUGAAAACAGCAUAUUGUAGCUUUCACUCUUGUCCUCUCAUGUCCACACAGCAUGUGGCAAUAAUAGGAGAGAUGGGAGAACAGAGAAAGCUGGAAGUAGGAGGGAGCACAAAGCUGUGCCAUUAGCAUUACCAGUGAGGGUCUUUUAUAGGGGAUACCAAAAUGGGUGAGACUCUGUGACCUUCAUCCUUCAGAGCACUGAAGACAAAGUACUAGGUUCUGGUUUUAACUUCAGCACAUUUUGGAUUUUUAAUGUGGCUGAAAGCUUGCAUGCUCACUCUCUGGUUCCCCCUUAGGGUAUGCUUAAAAGAAGAUUUGAGAUCAGUCACGUCAAAGCUCUUAUUAUCACAUGGGCAUUGAUCAGUGUAAUUUCUCGUUUCCAUAAAGAGAAAGUAAAAACUGCAUACACUGAAACUAUUUAAAUAUUUGUAUCACAUGUAUUUUUGAUGUACAGACCAAUACAAAAUGUAAAGUCCUGUGAAAGACGCAUUCCUCACUGAAUUACGGCAUGUAGGGACCCCAAGGACAGAAGUUUACACUUUAUUGAAGCAAAUGCUUGAGAAGUUCUCCAGCUGCACAGAUAUACAAAGAUAGUAAUUAGCUUUCUCUCUGAUGAGGAGUGGAAGAAGAAAAAAGAUUUCUAAUGGUGACCAUCAUUUGGUAAGAGGAAGAGGAAAUGGAGCCAAAAUAGUGUAGCAUUUCAUAUGCUCCCAUUAAUUUGCUUAUAUAUCUCCAGCUACAGAAACUGUGCCUCCAACAUAGAAUAUACAUACAGAAUCCAGUAUCCCAUCCUCUUACCCCAUUUUAUGAGGUGUUCAUAGUUUUUCGUCAUCCUGCAGAUUUUACAGCUGUUACUAAAAGGAGAACAAUCUAUUGCUGCACUGUGUCUUGAACAUUGUAAGUGCCUGCGCUCUGUAGUGACCUUGUCAGAUAACAGAUGAAGAAAGAAGGGUAAUGUAGUGGUUAAACAUGUAGUUUUUUGCGUCCUGCUUUAUGGUAUUUUAAAUCGUAAGCUGUAGCAUUUAAUAAACCAAACAAACAGGCUUCCAAAUUGACAGGAGGGAUAAAUAGUAGAAGAACCAGAAUUACAUCUGUUAGGAUACUUUAUUCUCUUUUUAGCUGUCAUCUGCAAGGAAUGUUCCCAGGACAAUAAACUCAGAAUCCAGUUGGGAAAAUGAAAAUUGUUUUCCAUUUCUAUCAUCAGAAAACUGAAGGCAGAGCAAAGUAGUUAACUUGUGUUAGCACAAUGACAGAUGUCUAUAUCACACCCCCCACACUUUAUACCCCCAGACUGUUUGGUAAGUGUUUGCAUUCAAGGAGUUUAAGACUUUUGAAUAGGCAUGUGACUAUACCAGCAGUGUGAACGUUCAUGACCGCUGAUUUCUCUGUAGCUGCAUGUCCACUUUACUUCAGAUUGUCCGCUCUCCUCAUUAGUUAUAGUCAAGAGAGAUGUAUUCAAAGUUCAGGAAUAACGUCCCAAUUUUAAAUACUGUUUUUAGGUCAGAUUCUGGUUAUUUCCAUCAGGUAUUUCAAGCAAACAGAGAGCUCUGCCUGAGCAUCCACUUCUGAACCACUGAGGAGCUGAAGUGUUUUCUAGUCCCUUGGCAUAAGAGCUGCUUAGUCCUGAAAUACAGUGCUACUCUUUGGCUUCUCCAAGGAUUAAACCUUUUUUUCUGCUAAGUCAAGAGGAGUUUUUCUAUUGUUUUGAAUUAUUAUAGGAAUUUUUCUCAUCAAGUAGUAGCAUCCAUAGGAGGCACUGUUUCUCUGAGCAGUCCCAGAGCAGGGACAGAGUUUCCGGGGCUAUGCUGUUGGUAAGCAGGGAUUAUGAGGAUUCCUCCUGGCACUGGCAUGGAACAUCCCAGAAAAGAAGUUGGAGUUGUUGCCUAAGGAUUUACCAAUCCUGCAUCACUGCUUAUGUCUCCUAAGUAAUCUUGCUCUGUCACAUAGCACUUCUGAUGUCUGCUCAGUGGUAUGGCAUUCAUUACUUCAGUCUCUGGUUUCUGUCUGUGCUUUCUAUCACCUUUGCAAGAUUUCAUGAACUAUUAAUGAGAAAAACAUAAAGGACAGAGAGGCAACCGAUCACUGCUGGCUCCAGAAUAAGGCACAGUCCCUGAGAUGCUUGUGUGUAAAAUCAGCAGCUCUUCUAAAAAUCAUUGCUUGCAUAUACAAUACAGGAGCUGGUGAACUACACAAAAUGUAUGGAUUUUGUCAGCUAUCUUGUUUAGGUACAGCUUUGAACAUUAUAUGUGAGAUGAUUCAUAAGCAUCUAGUUGUUUUUAUGUCCUGACCGGCCUCAAUUGCUGCUGCAGAAGUGCUCACAUCUGUAAGUGUAGUAUACCUGCCAGACCAACAGAGAUGCCUUGGACAACCUGGGGCAUCUGAAUGGCACAGAUCCCUAAUUCAGAUGUGUCCUGAUCAUUCCCAAGAUGUCUGCCUAACUGGGAAAAUGGAAUACAUUUGAAGUUCAAAGCUUGUGUCUUCUGAGCAGGAUAAAAGGGUUUCCUUUGUCUUAGUUAAAUGGAUCAUUAGAAGAACAAGCAGUCCUUCAUGUUUUUACACAUGAAAGAAGGCCCAGAAAGUCACAAGCUCUCACAUGCAACUGAAAACUGUAAGUAUAUAGUGUGUUUAGAACUCAUAUGCAAGCUGUGGCUUUAAGAGUGUCAGUCUUUAUGUCACCUGACUGCCUUCAUUCAGUGAAAGGCAUUGUGGUGCUUUGAUUAAGAAUUCAUUAGAUUUCAGUAGUGUCAAAGACUGUCUUCAUCUAAACGUGAGUAGGCUGUUGUGAGAACUUUGCCAUUGUGUGAGAAGAAUGUACUGGUUGUGUGAUCUGCAAGUUUCAUUUCUACAUCUACAAAUCUCUUUCCAGACAUGAUUUAAUAUGGUUCAUGCCAUGUAACUCAAACAAUUCCAUGGAAAAAGUGGAACUAAAUAAAAUGGAAAUGAUCUGAAACCUUCAUCAUUAUUGUAAAAGCACAUAACCUUGUCAUGUAACUGACAACAAUAAGGUGAUGUGAGUUUCCUCAGUCUAAGUCCUGGAAUUAUUUAGUGUCACACCUAUUUGUGUAAUGGUAAAGAAAAAUUACACAUUCUAAAAGGCAAAGUAAAAAAUAAAAACCCAAAGGAUUAACAACAAACUUCUAUGAUUUUGGGGGGCUGCCUCAUGAAUGUUGAAUGCUUGUCAUUAACGAUACAUAAAUAAAAUAUUGGGCUUUAGAUUCUCUGGUUCUCCAGGUCUUUAUGGCUGUUA